rnacentral:rRNA from 1 species
ACCUACGGGGGGCAGCAGUCGAGAAUCAUUCACAAUGGGGGAAACCCUGAUGGUGCGACGCAGCGUGGGGGAAUGAAGGUCUUCGGAUUGUAAACCCCUGUCAUGUGGGGGCAAAUUAAAAAGAUAGUACCUCAAGAGGAAGAGACGGCUAACUCUGUGCCAGCAGCCGCGGUAAUACAGAGGUCUCAAGCGUUGUUCGGAAUCACUGGGCGUAAAGCGUGCGUAGGCUGUUUCGUAAGUCGUGUGUGAAAGGCGCGGGCUCAACCCGCGGACGGCACAUGAUACUGCGAGACUAGAGUAAUGGA